AGGCAGGUGGUUUCUUAAGUCUACUGUUAAAUCUUGAGGCUCAACCUCAAAUCUGCAGUAGAAACUAGGAGACUUGAGUAUAGUAGGGGUAGAGGGAAUUUCCAGUGGAGCGGUGAAAUGCGUAGAUAUUGGAAAGAACGCCGAUGGCGAAGGCACUCUACUGGGCUAUUACUGACACUCAGAGACGAAAGCUAGGGGAGCAAAUG
rnacentral:rRNA from 1 species